GCCUAGUAAAGUCAAUUCCUGUAGUCCCAGCUACUUGAAGGCUGAGGCAGGGGGAUUGCUUGAAUCCAGGAAUUCUGGGAUGCACUAUGCCAAUAGGGUGACCUCCUGGGAGUGCGAGACCACCAGGUUGUCUAAGGAGGGGUGAACUGGACCAGGUCAGAAACAGGGCAGGUCAAAACUCCUGUGCUGAUUAGCAGUAGGAUUGCAUCUGUGAAUAGCCAUUGCACUCCAGCCUGGGAAACGUAGUGAGACCCUGCUU
rnacentral:SRP_RNA from 10 species